UACGUAGGGGGCAAGCGUUGUCCGGAAUCAUUGGGCGUAAAGCGCGUGUAGGCGGCUUGGUAAGUCCGGUGUGAAACCUUGGGGCUCAACCCCAAGCCUGCAUCGGAAACUGCCUCGCUCGAGUCCGGGAGGGGAGAGCGGAAUUCCUAGUGUAGCGGUGAAAUGCGCAGAUAUUAGGAAGAACACCGGUGGCGAAGGCGGCUCUCUGGAACGGUACUGACGCUGAGGCGCGAAAGCGUGGGGAGCAAACAGG
rnacentral:rRNA from 1 species